rnacentral:rRNA from 1 species
UACGAAGGGGGCUAGCGUUGUUCGGAAUUACUGGGCGUAAAGCGCACGUAGGCGGAUACUUAAGUCAGGGGUGAAAUCCCGGGGCUCAACCCCGGAACUGCCUUUGAUACUGGGUAUCUCGAGUCCGGAAGAGGUGAGUGGAAUUCCGAGUGUAGAGGUGAAAUUCGUAGAUAUUAGGAAGAACACCAGUGGCGAAGGCGGCUCACUGGUCCGGUACUGACGCUGAGGUGCGAAAGUGUGGGGAGCAAACAGG